UACAGAGGUCUCAAGCGUUGUUCGGAUUCAUUGGGCGUAAAGGGUUCGUAGGCGGUGCGGCAAGUCGGGAGUGAAAUCUCUGGGCUUAACCCAGAGGCUGCUUCCGAAACUGCUGUGCUUGAGUGUGGGAGAGGCGCGUGGAAUUGCAGGUGUAGCGGUGAAAUGCGUAGAUAUCUGCAGGAACACCCGUGGCGAAAGCGGCGCGCUGGACCACUACUGACGCUGAGGAACGAAAGCUAGGGGAGCAAACAGG
rnacentral:rRNA from 1 species